UACGGAGGAUGCGAGCGUUAUCCGGAUUUAUUGGGUGUAAAGGGAGCGUAGACGGCAUGGCAAGCCAGAUGUGAAAUACCGGGGCUCAACCCCGGGACUGCAUUUGGAACUGUUAAGCUGGAGUGUCGGAGAGGCAGGCGGAAUUCCUAGUGUAGCGGUGAAAUGCGUAGAUAUAUGGAGGAACACCGGUGGCGAAAGCGGCUCUCUGGCCUGUAACUGACACUGAGGCUCGAAAGCGUGGGGAGCAAACAGG
rnacentral:rRNA from 1 species